rnacentral:rRNA from 1 species
GACAGAGGGUGCAAACGUUGCUCGGAAUCACUGGGCGUAAAGGGCGUGUAGGCGGGAAGAUAAGUCGGGCGUGAAAUCCCUGGGCUCGACCCAGGAACUGCACUCGAAACUGUUUUUCUUGAGUAUCGGAGAGGAAAGCGGAAUUCCUGGUGUAGCGGUGAAAUGCGCAGAUAUCAGGAGGAACACCAAUGGCGAAGGCAGCUCACUGGGACGGUAUUGACGCUGAGACGCGAAAGCGUGGGGAGCAAACAGG